rnacentral:lncRNA from 1 species
GGCUGACCCAACUGGGUAGCAAAGGUCUUUAUGGACCCAUGGUUCAUGUUCGGGUUCACCCAUGGUGGGCUUAAGGUCUACUAAACUCGAUGCAAAGUUUGGAUCUAUUCUCACUAAUCGACCAGAUAUCUUUGUCUAAGAAAAAAUUUGAGAAUUUUCAAUUAUUUUUGUAAUUAUUUUUUUUUAAGAGAAGAGGAAAUAGAUGAGAAAAGAAUUCUAAAGAUGGGGGCCU